UACGUGAGGGGCAAGCGUUGUCCGGAUUCAUUGGGCGUAAAGAGCGUGGUAGGCGGCCAGGUAGGUCGGUUGUGAAAACUGGAGGCUCAACCUUCAGACGUCGACCGAAACCAUCUGGCUAGAGUCCGGGAGAGGAGAGUGGAAUUCCUGGUGAUAGCGGUGAAAUGCGCAGAUAUCAGGAAGAACACCCGUGGCGAAAGCGGCUCUCUGGAACGGUACUGGACGCUGAGACGCGAAAGCGUGGGGAGCGAACAGG
rnacentral:rRNA from 1 species